GGAGCGGCCCUGCGCAACAUGCGGGUGUCAAUCUCGUCAGGUCCGGAAGGAAGCAGCGAUAAUCAUUUUGCAUGUGUGCCGCAGUUAGUCGUUCCCGG
rnacentral:SRP_RNA from 1 species